CCACCUUCUGCUGCAGCUUCUUGACGUGGUCCUCCUCCUCAAACAGGGCCUUCUGCACCGAGGAACACAUAAGCUGGGGAGGAAACACCAGGAGACGCAGAAAAAAAAGAUAUUCUAAAUAUGUCACUCUAGCAAGGACAGAGCUCUGGUGACCCAAGAAGAGAACAAAACCCGAAACAGAAAGAUGCACAGAGAAUAUGAAUAGUCUACAGGAAGGAGAGGAUCUGGGCACCUCCGGGACCACCUAACGCAGCUUCCCCGCGGGUGACAAGUGGCCACCUGAACCUCUUGUUUCAGCAUCGCCUCGUCUGGACAUCAUGGAUUAUUCUGGCCCACUGUUGUACCCCAGAUGAAAAGGAGCGCAUACUGAGAAAGCCCAGGGAACACGCAGAUGGCCUACUGGCCACCAGUCCACAUGGCCAAGUUUAUCAGAAACCCCACGGGUCACAACAGAAGAACAAUGCACCUGUGAGCUAGCGGAAGAUCUGAGAUGCCUAUUCCAAAGACAGGUCCCAUCAACAGGUAAGUACAAUGAUGUAGUGGGUUGGCUCCUAUUUCAGGCCUUAAUGGGACUUGGGACCUCUCGAUUCCUUGGCUGAUGUGGUCUUGACAAUCGUCUGGCCCUUGAGUACCUUCUGGCAGAGCAAGGCAGAGUUUGUGCAGUAACUAAUACUUCCCGCUGCGCUUGGAUCCGUGCAACAGGACAGGUAAAAGUUAAUGUUAAGGAAAUAUAAGCUCAGGCAGAGUGGCUUCAUAAUUGUGGCAGGGGUGAUAUCGCCUUCCUUGUCUGGUGGUCAAGGAAGCCCAAAGUUAACCUGGUUCCUUCCCUUUCUAGGUGCUUUAAUGGCAAUGGUUGUUCUUCUCCUUUUUAGCCUUUGUUUUGUUUAACCUUUUGGUUAAGUUUGUGUCUUUUAGGCUCCAACAGUUUGAAGUAAGGCUCAUGAUGGCUCAAGAAAUUCAGCCCAUUCCAGCGGAAAGUGGCCCAGGUCCCUACAGGUCCUUGGAACAGUCAGGUCCUUCUCCUCUAGGGGAGGCUGGGGUCUUUCAGAAGAAGAGACCUUCAGCCUCUUACCCCUUAAUAAAUGUGUAGAGUCUCUCAGGGGGGAAGGAGACAGGCUGGAACCUGGGAGCCUGUGCUGCAGGGCUGCAGUGCUUGCACCUGGACACACCUCUCCUCAAGCAACAAAUUAAAAGAAACUGUAUGGGACUGAAAAUUACUGUGUGCAUGCUCAGUUGGGGCAAAUUCUAGACAAAAGAUACAAAGAGACCAAAAAAACCCAGCUGCCAUUUUGAGGAGCCUGGAGCAAAA